rnacentral:rRNA from 1 species
UACGUAGGGGCCGAGCGUUGUCCGGAAUUACUGGGCGUAAAGCGCGCGCAGGCGGCGUUCUAAGCCCGACGUGAAAGCCCCCGGCUCAACUGGGGAGGGUCACGCGAUACUGAUCGACUCGAAGGCAGGAGAGGGUAGUGGAAUUCCCGGUGUAGUGGUGAAAUGCGUAGAUAUCGGGAGGAACACCAGUGGCGAAGGCGACUACCUGGCCUGUUUCUUGACGCUGAGGCGCGAAAGCUAGGGGAGCAAACGGG